CUCUGGGUCACCUCCCACCCGUGUUUAUUGUACCUUGUUGCUUCGGUGCGCCCGCCUCACGGCCGCCGGGGGGCUUCUGCCCCCGGGUCCGCGCGCACCGGAGACACUAUUGAACUCUGUCUGAAGAUUGCAGUCUGAGCAUAAACUAAAUAAGUUAAAACUUUCAACAACGGAUCUCUUGGUUCCGGCAUCGAUGAAGAACGCAGCGAAAUGCGAUAACUAAUGUGAAUUGCAGAAUUCAGUGAAUCAUCGAGUCUUUGAACGCACAUUGCGCCCCCUGGUAUUCCGGGGGGCAUGCCUGUCCGAGCGUCAUUGCUGCCCUCAAGCACGGCUUGUGUGUUGGGCUCCGUCCCCCCGGGGACGGGUCCGAAAGGCAGCGGCGGCACCGAGUCCGGUCCUCGAGCGUAUGGGGCUUUGUCACCCGCUCUGUAGGCCCGGCCGGCGCCAGCCGACAACCAAUCAUCCUUUUUUCAGGUUGACCUCGGAUCAGGUAGGGAUACCCGCUGAACUUAAGCAUAUCAAUAAGCGGAGGAA
rnacentral:rRNA from 1 species